UCAAUGGGGUCUUAAUGGGGCCAUUGGGGUCAAAGGUGUCUUAAUGGUGUCCCAAUGGGGUCAAUGGGGUCCCAAUGGGGUCCCAAUGGGGUCAGUGGGGUCUUAAUGGGGUCCCAAUGGGGUCAAUGGGGUCCCAAUGGUGUCCCAAUGGGGUCAAUGGGGUCUUAAUGGGGUCCCAAUGGUGUCCCUAUGGGGUCAAUGGCGUCUUAAUGGGGUCCCAAUGGGGUCAGUGGGGUCUUAAUGGGGUCCCAAUGGGGUCCCAAUGGGGUUAAUGGGGUCUUAAUGGGGUCCCAAUGGGGUCAGUGGGGUCUUAAUGGGGUCCCAAUGGUGUCCCAAUGGGGUUAAUGGGGUCUUAAUGGGGUCCCAAUGGGGUCCCAAUGGGGUCAAUGGCGUCUUAAUGGGGUCCCAAUGGGGUCAAUGGGGUCUUAAUGGGGUCCCAAUGGUGUCCCAAUGGGGUUAAUGGGGUCUUAAUGGGGUCCCAAUGGGGUCAGUGGGGUCUUAAUGGGGUCCCAAUGGGGUCCCAAUGGGGUCAUUGGGGUCAAUGGGGGCAAUGGUGUCCCAAUGGGGUCAAUGGGGU
ensembl:lncRNA